AUGGCAGCGCCAGCAGCACCGCCGGCCGUCAGCGACGUCGAGGCUCAGGACAGGAAGAGCGCCCCAGAAGGUGCCGGCAAGACGCCAGUGAACCAGAAGGUGCUGUCGGUGUCGGCGAACCUGGCGCAGCUGCUGCCGACGGGGUCGGUGAUGGCGUACCAGAUGCUGGCGCCGUCCUUCAGCAACCAGGGCAAGUGCUACCCCUCCAACUGGUGGAUCACGCUCGGGCUCGUCGUCGUCCUCGCCGCCUCCUGCAUCUUCUUCGCCUUCACCGACUCCGUCGUCCACAAUGGUAAGGUGUACUACGGCCUGGCCAUCUACGGCCGCCUCAACAUCUUCAACCUAUCGAAGAAGGAGGAGGAGAAGAUGUUCACAAGCAUACAGCCGGUGCUCAAGGAACGUGGCCUCAAGAAACGGGACCUCGUUCACGCCUUCCUCACCGCCGUCGUCUUCCUCACCAUGGUCUUCAGCGACGUCGGGCUCCAGAACUGCUUCUUCCCCGACGCCGGCACCGACACGCAGCAGCUGCUUAAGAACCUGCCACUGGGAAUGGCGGUCUUCUCCAGCCUGGUGUUCACCAUCUUCCCCAGCAAAAGAAACUUCAUCGGAUGCAGCGAUCCGAACAGCGACAAGAACGACGACACCGCCAAAACUAAACCGUCUUCGGCUGCACAGCCUGAUCCGGCCACUCAAGCUUCAAGUGGCGCAUGCUCUGCAUGCGGGAGGUGUUCAUAA
rnacentral:rRNA from 1 species